rnacentral:sRNA from 1 species
AUGCUGUAUGUGCUGAUAGAGUCAGAGAGGGCCCGGAUCAAGAAACUGCAGGAAGAGAAAACUAGAAACCUAGAAUCGUCUAGAAAACUAGAACCUACAAUCGUCUCAGAACACAAAGGAAGCUUGAGGACUGAGCAGACUGACAUAGAUGUACUUGGACAACACCUCACCAAGGAGCAUGUCUCUUCCCACUCACAAUCCCCAAUACAAGAUUCACAGUGGUUCACGCUGAGUCCACAGGAAAAAUUGGCCUGGGGUACAUCAUCUAAAGAUCCUAGGAUUGCUGCAGGUCAGCAGUCUCCACUGGAAAAAAAGAUCUUGAAUCUAGGUGGUGUGCAUACAACAGCAGCAAGACAGUUGAUAAUUCAGAAAUAUCAGGAGGAGUGUGAAAUACUCUGUAGGGAGCAAGCUGUUUCUCUUGACUACUGGCUUGCCAAAGCAGAGUCUUAUUAUAAUAAAAUAAUAGUGGAAAUGAUGAAAGAAGAGACAGGCAAUGAAAUCAAGAAAAAAAUGGAGGAGAAAACAACCCAAAGCGUAGAAGGACUAAAACAGUACUGUUUGGUACCUGAGAGAGAGAUGAAACACAUAGAAAGGCACAUACAUCAAACAGGAAAGGCUGGAGAAUUUAAGAACAAAUCAUUUAGACAAGUACUACAACCCCCCAAUGAAACAAAAUUACCAAAAAUUAUGCCAGAAGGGCAUGGCAUCCAGAACGCACAGAGAAGAAAGCAGGUAAAUGAGAGGGAACAGAUGCAGACUAAGGAUCACCAGGAACGCAUGAUUCGAGGGAGAGAACUUGCAGAACAAAGACUCAAGGAGAGAAUCUUCAGAAGAAGCCAGAGCCAGCUACUUACAUAUGAGAAGCAUGAGAGAGUAAAAGAGAUAAAGGAGUUUGAAAGAGUUAUUGCAUAUCCUCUUUUCCAACCAUGCAGUAGAAGUCGGAUUAAAGUGAGUAUUCUUAUGGAUAAGUCUCAGAAUGGAGAGAAGGUGAAUACAAUUGUGAAACCAUAUCAAAGAAAAUUCUUGGCAAUGCCACCCUUUUUAAGAAGUCAAAUAGGAAAAAUAAGAGAUUAA